rnacentral:rRNA from 1 species
GAUGAACGCUGGCGGCGUGCCUAAUACAUGUAAGUCGAGCGAACAGACGAGGAGCUUGCUCCUCUGACGUUAGCGGCGGACGGGUGAGUAACACGUGGAUAACCUACCUAUAAGACUGGGAUAACUUCGGGAAACCGGAGCUAAUACCGGAUAAUAUAUUGAACCGCAUGGUUCAAUAGUGAAAGACGGUUUUGCUGUCACUUAUAGAUGGAUCCGCGCCGCAUUAGCUAGUUGGUAAGGUAACGGCUUACCAAGGCGACGAUGCGUAGCCGACCUGAGAGGGUGAUCGGCCACACUGGAACUGAGACACGGUCCAGACUCCUACGGGAGGCAGCAAUAGGGAAUCUUCCGCAAUGGGCGAAAGCCUGACGGAGCAACGCCGCGUGAGUGAUGAAGGUCUUCGGAUCGUAAAACUCUGUUAUUAGGGAAGAACAAAUGUGUAAGUAACUAUGCACGUCUUGACGGUACCUAAUCAGAAAGCCACGGCUAACUACGUG